CUGUGCUAGUUCUGGGUGUGGUAAUUGUGCUUCCUGUGAAUCCCUGCAGAGAUCCGGGAGGCUCCCAUCAACCCAGCCAGCAAAGCCAGCAAGAGGAAGAGGGAUGAUGUGGCUCUGGAGCAGCAGGAGUCCUGGUUUGUGGUGCUGGAGAGGGAUUUGCCAGAGGAUGACCCUGAAGACCACUCAUAUGAGCCCUCGGAGCUGGAGUCAGACAGUGACGAGUACCAGACCCAAAAUGACACCGACCUGGAGCUGGAGGAGCAGGGUGGGGUCCCUGUGCUGGAGCUCUCAGCUGUCCAGGGCUCCGUGUUGCCCCCAGAGCCGGGAGCAGAGGAUCCAGCUGUGGCCAGCGAUGAGGGAGAUGCUCCAGAUGUGGCCAGUGGUGAUGCCCAGGAGCCACGAGGGGCUGGCAGCAGUGAGCAGGAGACUGACACAGCCUGUGACACCAGCUCAUCCCAG
ensembl:lncRNA